rnacentral:lncRNA from 1 species
GGGCAAAAUUAAGAUUACUAAAAAUUGUUUAGAGAAAUAAUUAGUUAUGAACCUACCCUUAGAUGUAUAUGGGUUGGCCAACCAAAGUUGGACUUGUGUGCAGUCUAAGUGGAUUCUAGUACCCACUAAGAAAUUAGGGUAAUUGCUCGAAUUGGAGGUAGAGGCUACCAAUUCGAAUAAAAUAGUGGGAGAAACCUUUUGAUUAAAGUCCAAAUCUUUAGGUUUAAUGAAUCAAUUAUUAAUUAGGUUAUGGUUUUCCUUUGUGCAUAUAUAGCCACUUCCCUAUCGCUUCGAUCAUUGUUGGACAAUGAU